rnacentral:piRNA from 1 species
CGGCUGAAGGCGCUGAAGCGGGC